UCCCCGUUACCGGGGCAGUCUGGCUAGAAAAAUACAACUAACCAUAAGGGUUGCGCUCGUUAAGGGACUUAACCCAACAUCUCACGACACGAGCUGACGACGGCCAUGCAGCACCUGUCACUUGGUUCCCGAAGGCACUCUCGGCUUUCGCCAAAAUUCCAAGGAUGUCAAGUCUGGGUAAGGUUCUUCGAUUAUCAUCGAAUUAAAGAACACGCUCCACCGCUUGUGCGGGUCCCCGUCAAUUCCUUUGAGUUUUAAUCUUGCGACCGUACUCCCCAGGCGGGAUGCUUAACGCGUUAGCUUCGCUACAGGACGGGUCGAGCGUCCUACAGCUAGCAUCCAUAGUUUACGGCGUGGACUAC
rnacentral:misc_RNA from 1 species